rnacentral:rRNA from 1 species
UAGGGAAUCUUCCACAAUGGACGCAAGUCUGAUGGAGCAACGCCGCGUGAGUGAAGAAGGUUUUCGGACCGUAAAGCUCUGUUGUUGGUGAAGAAGGAUAGAGGUAGUAACUGGCCUUUAUUUGACGGUAAUCAACCAGAAAGUCACGGCUAACUACGUGCCAGCAGCCGCGGUAAUACGUAGGUGGCAAGCGUUGUCCGGAUUUAUUGGGCGUAAAGCGAGCGCAGGCGGAAGAAUAAGUCUGAUGUGGAAGCCCUCGGCUUAACCGAGGAAUUGCAUCGGAAACUGUUUUCUUGAGUGCAGAAGAGGAGAGUAGAACUCCAUGUGUAGCGGUGGAAUGCGUAGAUAUAUGGAAGAAUACCAGUGGCGAAGGCGGCUCUCUGGUCUGCAACUGACGCUGAGGCUCGAAAGCAUGGGUAGCGAACAGGAUUAGAUACCCUGGUAGUCCAUGCCGUAAACGAUGAGUGCUAAGUGUUGGGAGGCUUCCGUCUCUCAGUGCUGCAGCUAACGCAUUAAGCACUCCGCCCUGGGGGAGUACGACCGCAAGGUUGAAAC